GAUGAACGCUGGCGGCGUGCCUAAUACAUGCAAGUCGAGCGAGCAGACGAGGAGCUUGCUCCUCUGACGUUAGCGGCGGACGGGUGAGUAACACGUGGAUAACCUACCUAUAAGACUGGGAUAACUUCGGGAAACCGGAGCUAAUACCGGAUAAUAUAUUGAACCGCAUGGUUCAAUAGUGAAAGACGGUUUUGCUGUCACUUAUAGAUGGAUCCGCGCCGCAUUAGCUAGUUGGUAAGGUAACGGCUUACCAAGGCAACGAUGCGUAGCCGACCUGAGAGGGUGAUCGGCCACACUGGAACUGAGACACGGUCCAGACUCCUACGGGAGGCAGCAGUAGGGAAUCUUCCGCAAUGGGCGAAAGCCUGACGGAGCAACGCCGCGUGAGUGAUGAAGGUCUUCGGAUCGUAAAACUCUGUUAUUAGGGAAGAACAAAUGUGUAAGUAACUGUGCACGUCUUGACGGUACCUAAUCAGAAAGCCACGGCUAACUACGUG
rnacentral:rRNA from 1 species